ACGUCAUUGCCCGCCCACCAGAUCUGAUUGGACAAACAAGGAAAUGUGUAGCUGAGCUGUACAUGACGGCUAGGUUCUGUAGCUGCACAGGUGUCAGCACGGCAAUACACAUGGAGACCACCUCCCUCUGCAGGAUCUGGGCACCGCUAACCUAAGGAUCCUUUUCUACAGACCGAGGAAAAUACGGGAUCGGUAUGAGAUCCCGCUGAAAUGGAUCCCGACAUUCGAGAUACCGAUGCCAGGAUCCCGCUGAUUAAGAAGCCGACAGGGGACCAACACGGUAACGCAAACAACUUGAUGAAGGUUUUUAAGAUAGAGAUUUGCAUUGUGCGUGUUAUUCGCUGUGACACAGGAGAUGUAAAACCCGCUCAGCCGGAGAGGAUGUGGAACCCGGGCAGACGAGCUGCUACAUAAUAACA